UGGAUCCAGACUUUGAUUCUGGCUCAGGAUAAACGCUGGCGGCGCACAUAAGACAUGCAAGUCGAACGGACUUAAUCUCUUGCUUGCAAGAGAAGCGGUUAGUGGCGGACUGGUGAGUAACACGUAAGAAAUCUGCCUAUCAGAGGGGAAUAACAGUGAGAAAUCAUUGCUAAUACCGCAUAUGCCAUAGGGUUCGCAUGAGCCUAGUGGGAAAGAAGCAAUUCGCUGAUAGAUGAGCUUGCGGCUGAUUAGCUAGUUGGUGGGGUAAAGGCCUACCAAGGCGACGAUCAGUAGCCGGACUGAGAGGUUGAACGGCCACAUUGGGACUGAGAUACGGCCCAGACUCCUACGGGAGGCAGCAGUCGGGAAUAUUGCGCAAUGGAGGGAACUCUGACGCAGUGACGCCGCGUAUAGGAAGAAGGUUUUCGGAUUGUAAACUAUUGUCCACAGGGAAGAAAAGGACUGUACCUGUGAAGAAAGCUCCGGCUAACUACGUGCCAGCAGCCGCGGUAAUACGUAGGGAGCAAGCGUUAUCCGGAAUUAUUGGGUGUAAAGGGUGCGUAGACGGGAUAGCAAGUUGGUUGUGAAACCCCUCGGCUCAACUGAGGAACUGCAACCAAAACUAUUAUUCUUGAGUGCAGGAGAGGAAAGUGGAAUUCCUAGUGUAGCGGUGAAAUGCGUAGAUAUUAGGAAGAACACCGGUGGCGAAGGCGACUUUCUGGACUGUAACUGACGUUGAGGCACGAAAGUGUGGGGAGCAAACAGGAUUAGAUACCCUGGUAGUCCACACUGUAAACGGUGGAUACUAGGUGUAGGAGGUAUUAAGCCUUCUGUGCCGUCACUAACGCAGUAAGUAUCCCACCUGGGGAGUACGACCGCAAGGUUGCAACUCAAAGGAAUUGACGGA
rnacentral:rRNA from 1 species